GGAAAAUCUGCCCAAACUAGUGGGAAAAGCCAGAUUGGACUUCAAUAAACCAAAUGUAGUUACCAUAUCUUUAGGAGAAACCAGAAGCUGACAUCAGAAAUACACUGUAGUUGUUUCUUUUCCCACUUAAGUAAGGAUAUAUACGUUUCUUAAUCAGGAAACUUGACAGCAUCCCAAGUAAAAGUCCUACUUUGGAUAUCAUCCUACAUAGAUAUUUGAGCUACGUGGACCCACAAUCAUUUCUCCGGCUCCUGAAGAGGCUGUUUCCACUUAGUGUUAUAAACACGGGAACAGAGUGACAGCAUGCCUCUCUUGCUGCGUCCCUAGUGCAUUGUGAAGAGUAUGAACUAAUAACUCACAAGGGUGCUGCCAUUGGUUUAUGUGGCAGAGAGAGAGCUGUCCGCCAGGUAGCUGUCCUCUCCUGUCAGAGAGGGGGCUGUCACCAGCAGAGAGCUGCCAAGCCAGGGGCUGCAUUUCCAACCGACAGAAGCCAACUUGCUGAGACAUGAGAGAGCCUUCAACUUUAAGAUCCCCUAUUGCCAAAGGUCUCU
rnacentral:lncRNA from 1 species